rnacentral:rRNA from 1 species
AUUGAACGCUGGCGGCCGGCCUAACACAUGCAAGUCGAGCGAGCGGCGGACGGGUGAGUAAUGUAUGGGGACUGCCCGAUAGAGGGGGAUAAAUACUGGAAACGGUGGCUAAUACCGCAUACUAUCGGAUAACCCAUAUGGGAUUAGCUAGUAGGUUGGGUAAAGGCUCACCUAGGCGACGAUCUCUAGCUGGUCUGAGAGGAUGAUCAGCCACCCGUGGACUGCGACACGGCCCAGACUCCUACGGAGGCAGCAGUGGGGAAGAUUGCACAAUGGGGGCAACCUUGACGCAGCCAUGCCGCGUGAAUGAAGAAGGCCUGCGGGUUGUAAAGUUCUGUCGGUAGCGAGGCGUUAACUACAGAAGAAGCACCGGCUAACUCCGUGCCAGCAGCCGCGGUAAUUC